rnacentral:rRNA from 1 species
UGACGCUGAUGAACGAAAGCGUGGGGAGCGAACAGGAUUAGAUACCCUGGUAGUCCACACCGUAAACGAUGAUUACUCGCUGUAGGCGAUACACAGUCUGUGGCUAAGCGAAAGUUUUAAGUAAUCCACCUGGGGAGUACGAUCGCAAGAUUGAAACUCAAAGGAAUUGACGGGGGCCCGCACAAGCGGAGGAACAUGUGGUUUAAUUCGAUGAUACGCGAGGAACCUUACCUGGACUUAAAUGUGCGUUGCAUAGAUCAGAGAUGGUCUUUUCUUCGGACUACGUACAAGGUGCUGCAUGGUUGUCGUCAGCUCGUGCCGUGAGGUGUCGGGUUAAGUCCCAUAACGAGCGCAACCCUUAUCCUUAGUUGCCAGCGGGUAGAGCCGGGGACUCUGAGGAGACUGCCACCGUAAGGUGUGAGGAAGGUGGGGAUGACGUCAAAUCAGCACGGCCCUUAUGUCCAGGGCGACACACGUGUUACAAUGGACGGUACAAAGGGCAGCUACCUGGUGACAGGAUGCUAAUCUCUAAAGCCGUUCUCAGUUCGGAUCGAAGUCUGUAACCCGACUUCGUGAAGCUGGAUUCGCUAGUAAUCGCGCAUCAGCCAUGGCGCGGUGAAUACGUUCCCGGGCCUUGUACACACCGCCC